AACGGCUAUACCAUGCUAAAUAUACCGGUUCUCGUUAGAUCACCGAAGUCAAGCAUCAUUGGGCGCGGUCAGUACUUGGGUGGGUGACCACCUGGGAACACCGCGUGCCGUU
rnacentral:rRNA from 1 species